rnacentral:rRNA from 1 species
UGCUAAUACCGGAUAACAACAGAUGAUGCCUAUCAACUGUUUAAAAGAUGGUUCUGCUAUCACUCUUGGAUGGACCUGCGGUGCAUUAGCUAGUUGGUAGGGUAACGGCCUACCAAGGCGAUGAUGCAUAGCCGAGUUGAGAGACUGAUCGGCCACAUUGGGACUGAGACACGGCCCAAACUCCUACGGGAGGCAGCAGAA